rnacentral:rRNA from 1 species
UACGUAGGGUGCAAGCGUUAUCCGGAUUUACUGGGUUUAAAGGGUCCGCAGGCGGUUUGAUAAGUCAGUGGUGAAAUAACAGGGCUCAACCUUGUUGCUGCCAUUGAUACUGUUGAACUUGAGAUUAGUAGAGGUGGGCGGAAUGUAGCAUGUAGCGGUGAAAUGCGUAGAUAUGCUACAGAACACCGAUUGCGAAGGCAGCUCACUGGACUACAUCUGACGCUAAUGGACGAAAGCGUGGGUAGCGAACAGG